GCCGGGAUACCCUAGCCUGGUAGGGGGCUGGCUUGCUAAGCCCGUGUCUCGCAAGGGACUCGUGGGUUCAAAUCCCACUCCCGGCGCCA
rnacentral:tRNA from 1 species